CCGUAGGCGGCCCUCUUUCUCCUUCUUUCCUGGUCUUCCCUUUCGUUCCUUUUUUUUUCUCCUUUCUUUUUUCCCUCUCCCCUUCUUCCCCUUUCUCUUCCCCUGAAGACUGGUCAGCUAGAGGACGGUAGGGGGGUGUGGAAUUCCGGGUGUAGUGGUGAAAUGCGUAGAGAUCCGGAGGAACACCAGAGGCGAAGGCGACACCCUGGGCCGUACCUGACGCUAAGACGCGACAGCACGGGGAGCGAACGG
rnacentral:rRNA from 1 species